UGAUAUUUUCGGAAAACGUCGACGCGGCAUUAUGCAGAGUUUUGUGCCAUUGUCUCGGAGCUGCGACUCACUGGUCGCAAUUUCUGCACGUCAAUUAAGCCAAUGAUAGCCUGCAAGUUAUUCAGGACUUUCAGCGUGUUCAUGUGAUCGUGUAAACACACUGAGCGAAAUUCUGCGGAAUGUGGCAAACCUGGCUCACUUACUGUUUACUUUUCACUCAAGUGCUCUUGGUUAGUACUGAAGAAUUUCUUGACAGCCAGGUGCUUGAUGGCGAAGGACAACUUGGCAGUUCUGUUAAAACUUUGGUUAAGCGGUCACCCGCUGCUGGCGCGAACAAACGCGUCCGGCGAGGAAUACUCGAAGCAGCUAUGAAGGCCAAAGAUUUGACAACCGCAGCUAUCCGCGGAGUAAUGGCGAUGAAGAAUAAAAUACGUGAGUUGAAAGGAGACGAAGAAGACGACGAGCCAUUCCGUCCUAUCGACGUUGAUGCGAUACUUAGGAGAGAAGGCAGCACCUACGAAGACGGAUCAACAGAAGAGAACGGAGACCCUGUACCCGCUCCAAUAGGGUAUCAAGCGGGAUUGUAUCCACCAAACUAUCCUUACGUCAACGCACAUGGGAACGGCAUUCCAAGGCAAGAAUUUCGCAAGGGAUGGUAAAGCGUGGUUGGAACGUCUCAGUGUCUGGAGGGACAAAAAGCGUGAACAAUUUGCAUUGAGCUACUGUGACAAUUUUCUGGUCUAUUCCAUAAGCUACAUCUUUUAUUAUAAUUAGGCACUGACAUACUAAAGGAUAGUCUGUAAGUGAAAGCAACGUUGCAGUCAACAAACAGCGAGAAGCAUUCGCAUACUUAUUAACCACUUCGUUUUAUACAAUCUAACUACAAGAAUUGCUGCUAGAUGAUCAUAACAGUCACUGCGUAUAUGUUUGCUGUUGUCGUUUCUCUGAAUGAACGAGAUAACUACGGAUCUAAAGGCGUAUAUACUUGAGAGAUCUGUAGAACCGACACCUGGAGCGCCCACCUGUUCACGCGCCAGUAAAUAAAUUGAGAUCUUUUUUUUUUAUUCUGCACACUCUUACAAAACGAAACUACGCUUGUCGUAAUAGCUGGUUACGAUGUAGAAUUACGAUGAUUGACAUGCACGUGACUACGAUGGGGUAGCUUAGAUAGCUUAUGCUUAUUUAGACUGUUACAUUUCCGACUAGAGUUGUAGUGAUUGCUGUUGUGCCGUGGAGUUGUUUACCGCAGUGUUACCUUUGCAGUUUUCGUUAUUACCGUGUGUUAAAAUAAUUUCGCAGACUUACCAAAACUUCCUCAAUAAAUAGAUUCCCCUGUGUGAGUGUUGUCUUUGCUCUCUUAUCUAUAUAAAUUUUGUGGUGUCAUCAAAACGAGAACUUCCUGAAUAAAGAGAUUUGCGUAUCUG